GGACCCGCACAAGCGGUGGAGCAUGUGGUUUAAUUCGAUGCAACGCGAAAAACCUUACCUACACUUGACAUACUUCGAAUUUUCUAGAGAUAGAUUAGUGCCUUCGGGAGCGAAGAUACAGGUGCUGCAUGGCUGUCGUCAGCUCGUGUCGUGAGAUGUUGGGUUAAGUCCUAUAACGAGCGCAACCCUUACCCUUAUUUGCCAGCGGUUAGGCCGGGAACUAUAAGGGAACUGCCGGUAAUAAGCCGGAGGAAGGUGGGGACGACGUCAAGUCAUCAUGGCCCUUACGUGUAGGGCUACACACGUGCUACAAUGGGAGAUACAGACGGUUGCUAAAGCGCGAGCUGGAGCCAAUCCGACAAAGUCUCUCGUAGUCCGAAUUGCAGUCUGGAACUCGACUGCAUGAAGCCGGAAUCGCUAGUAAUCGCGGAU
rnacentral:rRNA from 1 species